AUGCUCACUUUAGCAGCACAAACACUAAAACAGGAAUGAUACAGAGAAGAGUAGUAAGGUCCCUGAGCAGAGAUGACAGGUAAAUUUGUGAAGGGUUGCAUAUUUUC
ensembl:snRNA U6 U6 spliceosomal RNA